rnacentral:rRNA from 1 species
UACGUAGGGUGCAAGCGUUAAUCGGAAUUACUGGGCGUAAAGGGUGCGUAGGCGGUUGUUUAAGUCUGUCGUGAAAUCCCCGGGCUCAACCUGGGAAUGGCGAUGGAUACUGGGCAGCUAGAGUGUGUCAGAGGAUGGUGGAAUUCCCGGUGUAGCGGUGAAAUGCGUAGAGAUCGGGAGGAACAUCAGUGGCGAAGGCGGCCAUCUGGGACAACACUGACGCUGAAGCACGAAAGCGUGGGGAGCAAACAGG